GUGUCUCGAAAGCGCCGGUACUCCGCAUAUAUCAGUUCCCUGGCAUGCGUAGACGCCGUUUAACGCGAUAAAUAAACGAUCAGGCAAAGAAUUAUUUUCCCCCAAAAAUCGAAAAAACACUAAGCCUAUAGCCCAUUAAAUUAUCAUUUUUUCGACGAAAAAUAAAGUGUCUCGAAAGCGCCGGUACUCCGCAUAUAUCAGUUCCCGGGCAUGCGUAGACGCCGUUUAACGCGAUAAAUAAACGAUCAGGCAAAGAAUAAUUUUCCCCAAAAAAUGGAAAAAACACUAAGCCUAUAGCCCAUGAAAAUAUCAUUUUUUCGACCAAAAAUAAAGUUGUCUCGAAAGCGCCGGUACUCCGCAUAUAUCAGUUCCCGGGCAUGCGUAGACGCCGUUUAACGCGAUAAAUAAACGAUCAGGCAAAGAAUAAUUUUCCCCAAAAAAUGGAAAAAACACUAAGCCUAUAGCCCAUGAAAAUAUCAUUUUUUCGACCAAAAAUAAAGUUGUCUCGAAACCGCCGGUACUUCACAUAUAUCAGUCCCCGGGCAUGCGUAGAAGCCG
rnacentral:lncRNA from 1 species